rnacentral:lncRNA from 1 species
CCGUGAAAUUGGGGUCAAAACUUUAAUUUGGAAUUAAAAUUAGAAAGAUCAUAUCAUAGGGAACAUGUGUACUAAGUUUCAAGUUGAUGUAACUUUAGCUUCAUCAAAAACUACCUUGACCAAAAACUUUAACCUGAACUUCGCACUAUCAUUUUCUAUGUUCAGUGGACCAUGAAAUUGGGGUCAAAACUAUAAUUUGGCAUUAAAAUUAGAAAGAUCAUAUCAUGGGGAACAAGUGUACUAAGUUUCAAGUUGAUUGGACUUCAACUUCUUCAAAAACUACCUUGACCAAAAACUUUAACCUGAAGCGGACGGACGAACGGAGGCACAGACCAGAAAACAUAAUGCCCCUCUACUAUCGUAGGUGGGGCAUAAAAAUGG